GAAAGUUGUGCUCUCUGAUUACCGAGGAGUUUGCACUUGACGCACUGGCCGUGUACAAAUUUUAUACGUGCGUUCAAAUCUAGCGCCGAACAGAAGCCGUACAAUAAAAUCUCUCCUGCUGCAGUGGCUGAGGAUUUCAAGAACUCUGUCGUUCAGACGAAACCGGAUACCGUGCAACUGACUCGCUGCACCCGCGGAACUUUUACCAUUUCUUUGCCAAGCAACGUCGUUGGCGAGUGCAGCAGUGACUUCGGCUCCGAGUGUCAAAAAUCAAGCACCGCUCUCGUGUCAC